GACGAACGCUGGCGGCGUGCUUAACACAUGCAAGUCGAGCGGAAAGGCCCUGCUUUUGUGGGGUGCUCGAGUGGCGAACGGGUGAGUAACACGUGAGUAACCUGCCCUUGACUUUGGGAUAACUUCAGGAAACUGGGGCUAAUACCGGAUAGGAGCUCCUGCUGCAUGGUGGGGGUUGGAAAGUUUCGGCGGUUGGGGAUGGACUCGCGGCUUAUUAGCUUGUUGGUGGGGUAGUGGCUUACCAAGGCUUUGACGGGUAGCCGGCCUGAGAGGGUGACCGGCCACAUUGGGACUGAGAUACGGCCCAGACUCCUACGGGAGGCAGCAGUGGGGAAUAUUGCACAAUGGGCGGAAGCCUGAUGCAGCAACGCCGCGUGCGGGAUGACGGCCUUCGGGUUGUAAACCGCUUUCGCCUGUGACGAAGCGUGAGUGACGGUAAUGGGUAAAGAAGCACCGGCUAACUACGUG
rnacentral:rRNA from 1 species